rnacentral:misc_RNA from 1 species
GCACACAUUGCACGAUUGCACAAUUUUGCGCAAAUGUAUGCAAGCGCCGCGUACCAAAGUUGGUGCUCGAGGGAGUGCUGAGUGCUUUCGUCUUCUACGAGUGUUCGUUUUCUUCAUGUUGACAAAUAAUGCUGGUAAAGAAAGCCUGCAAUAAGUGAAAUACCACAUGACUGCGCUCCCACCUGCAUAAGAAAGCAGCUGAGCUUGUUGGAAGCAACUGUUUCGCCUGUUGUCUGCUGCCAGGGACAGCAUUCCGUAUCUUGACAAUGGGUAACGGAAGUGAUGAAAUGCAGUUCAGGGAACUGCUGGGCAAGCUGGAAGCAUUGUGGACAGCAGAACAGUUCUGUGAGAAACAAGAUGACAUAUGGCGCCUGCUCAAGCGGGACGUCCCUCGAAGAUCCAGGUUCAGCUGCCGCACUGUCCGCGACAUGCUUGACAUUCUCACUGACCGGGAGGUCAUCACACCACAAGAAACAGUGCUGUUGGAGCGGCUCGCUGCUGUAUUCUCAAUCCAGGAGGCUUCGGAGCAUAUUCAAGCCUUUCGAAAAAUACCACUGGACAAAGACACCUGCAGCGUGUGUUCUGCACCAUGUCAGGCAUCAUUACUUUACCGCACACCUGUUCAGGAAAACACUGGUCAGAAAGAGUUGGUGUGUGCCAUUCUCUAUCUCUGUGAACAGAAGUGCCCAUGGAAGACAGUUGUUCGAGCAUUUCCAAAAACAUUAAAUGUCAAGGAGGGCGAGAUUGAGCGGCUGGAAUCAAUGGCAUGUGCCUCUAAGCCACAGCUCAAGCGGUGUCUGACCUGUUCCGGCUUUGAAGUUAUGGAGUCCUGGAGGAAGAAACAUCCGCAACAUGCCACAGUAAAACUGCUACUGAAGUACCUGGCCAGUGAACGGGUCAGCCCUAGCUAUUCUGAAGACAUCAAGAACGGCUUUCACAUGGCAAUGACUGUGAGCUCAAAGUGCCUUUUGUGUAAGACAGGGUGUGAGCUGCAAGCGCAGCGUGGCGAGGCUGUCUCGGUACAAAUUGUCUGCGCACAGAUUCUUAAUCGGGACAUUCAGGAAACAUCUUGAAGGCUCACAUUUUUGAUGUACAGUGCUCAUGGAUUCAAACGCAACAAUUUAGGGCUAAUAUUAAUGAGAACUAACAGACAAUAAUG